AAAGAGACCACAGACUUUGAGGGAAGCUCACUCAGGACCUUUUCUUCACCCAGUCUCUCCGGCAAAAUAGUGCUGAAGGCUGAGGAUGAGCUACUUUGUGGAUUCCAUCAUGAGUGGCCCUGCUCCUUAUUCUGCAGUGCGUCCUGCAGUGGCGAGGCAGGGACCUAUCAACUCCUAUGAAGAUCCUCGAAUGGCCUGUGGUUUCCAGUCCAGUUAUCACCCACAAAGAGCUUACUACCCCUUCUGGGAUGAGAUGGCCACUCAGGAAGUUCCUACUGGUCUGGAACAAUGUG